rnacentral:rRNA from 1 species
GACGAACGCUGGCGGCGUGCUUAACACAUGCAAGUCGAACGGAAAGGCCCUGCUUUUGUGGGGUACUCGAGUGGCGAACGGGUGAGUAACACGUGAGUAACCUGCCCUUGACUUUGGGAUAACUUCAGGAAACUGGGGCUAAUACCGGAUAGGAGCUCCUGCUGCAUGGUGGGGGUUGGAAAGUUUCGGCGGUUGGUGAUGUACUCGCGGCUUAUCAGCUUGUUGGUGGGGUAGUGGCUUACCAAGGCUUUGACGGGUAGCCGGCCUGAGAGGGUGACCGGCCAAACUGGGACGGAGAUACGGCACAGACUACUACGGGAGGCAGCAGUGGAGAAUAGUGCACAAUGGGCGGAAGGCUGAUGCAGCAAAGCAGCGUGCGGGAUGACGGCAUUCGGGUUGUAAACCGCUUUCGCCUGUGACGAAGCGUGAGUGACGGUAAUGGGUAAAGAAGCACCGGCUAACUACGUG